rnacentral:lncRNA from 1 species
UGAUGUGCGCUUAGCACAAGUGACUCCAUUUGGGUCUUCUAUCUCCCUUUUAACAUCUCUCAUUCUAGGCAAUCACCCUCCCUCGCCUGGACUAGUGCCUCGACUUAUCUGGUCCAGAAUCUCUUCUUAUCCCCUUUCCUCCCACUCCCCCUAGAGCAGCAGUCAGAUCUAUCACUCACCUCCUCCCUUGCCAGCUGGACACUCAAAGCCCUGCCGAGGUUCCCUGUUGGAAUUAUUAACUAGAAGCUGGGAAGUCCACAACAGAGAUUCCAAACUGGGGGCGGUUUUGCACCCCCACCCGGGGGCAAGGUUUGGAGGCAGUUUUGGUUGUCAUCAUUAGGGGGCAUUACCGGCAUCUAGGGGGUGGAGACCAGGGAUGCUGCUGGACAUUCGCUGACAGCCCACUGAUGCCAAAGAAUGUCCAGUCCCAAAUGUCAUUUGCGUAGCCUAGUGUUGAGUGGUAGCCUAGUGUUGAAGAUGAGAGUGAGGGACAGUGCCCCAACUCGAGCUGGAAGGUUUUAUGUUGACAGCGCUCCGCAUUCAUGAACAUGUUGGUUCUCCAGCUUCCUUCAGCUGCUCCGAGUGGGACCAGCUACUAGCCGGACAGAUGUGGCCAAAGACAGGGAACUGAGAGCCUAGUGUGCUUCCGCCAGGCAUCUAACACACUGUCCAGCACGCAGCUUCACCUCCUCCAGGAAGCUUUCCUUGACUUCCCCUCUUCUGUGAUCCGAAGUGCCGUGUACACGGCUUCGUCAGGUACUGACCCCAUUGCUUUACAUAUUAUCUCCCUAAUGUCGUUUAUGUUUCUCCUCGGGUCAGGAAUUAUACCUUACUCUUCUUUGAGUUGCCAUGGCCUAUUAGAGUGUCCGACACAAUAAAUCUUUGAUAAAUACAUAAACCCUGGCAGCAGGCAAUCCAGGCUUUAAAGGAGAACAACAGUAUUUCCUUGCAAUCGUUAACAGUAUUAGCAGGAAUUUUUAGAAUUUCAGUGAGGGGUGGGGAAAAGUUUAUGAGUAUGAAUUUAUUUGGAUUAAAAAAAGAACCUUUGGGGGCACCUGAGUGCCUCAGUUGGGUAAGCAUCUGACUCUUGAUCUCAGCUCAGGCCUGAUCUCAGGGUCAUGAGUUCAGCCUCCACCCUGGGCAUGGAGCCCACUUGAAAUAAAUAAAUUUGUUAAAAAAUAAAAGGCAAAAGAAACCCCCCAAGAAAAACCUUUGGGGUUACUUGAUCUGAAUAAAGACACAAUAAUCAUUAAAUAAUUCUAGAAAGGAGAGACCAUUCUAGAAAAAGAAUCCACGCAAGACUCCUUUUAAACCUGUUGAUUUCGAUCCAAUGAAUAAAUACUGAAGACUUAGGAUGAGCAAAUACCUCUGCCAAGAGAGAAAAAAAAGAAAAUACUUCUGCCACUUGACGUUUCAUAAUUCUAUGACCUUAUGAUGCUGCACGCCUACGGAAGGUAUUUUUAAACCGUGGCAGUCACACGGGGUAGAUUUACAUGAAGAACCAGGCAU